GGCGUGGUAGCUCAGCUGGUUAGAGCGCAGGAUUCAUAAUCCUGAGGUCGGGAGUUCAAGUCUCCCCCACGCUA
rnacentral:tRNA from 1 species